GUAGGUGGCAAGCGUUGUCCGGAAUUAUUGGGCGUAAAGCGCGCGCAGGCGGUUCUUUAAGUCUGAUGUGAAAGCCCACGGCUCAACCGUGGAGGGUCAUUGGAAACUGGAGAACUUGAGUACAGAAGAGGAAAGCGGAAUUCCACGUGUAGCGGUGAAAUGCGUAGAGAUGUGGAGGAACACCAGUGGCGAAGGCGGCUUUCUGGUCUGUAACUGACGCUGAGGCGCGAAAGCGUGGGGAGCAAACAGGAUUAGAUACCCUGGUAGUCCACGCCGUAAACGAUGAGUGCUAAGUGUUAGGGGGUUUUCCGCCCCCCUUAGUGCUACAGCUAACGCAUUAAGCACUCCGCCUGGGGAGUACGGCCGCAAGGCUG
rnacentral:rRNA from 1 species